GGGCCCAUAGCUCAGCUGGGAGAGCGUACGGUUCGCAUCCGUAAGGUCGGGAGUUCGAUCCUCCUUGGGUCCACCA
rnacentral:tRNA from 1 species